rnacentral:rRNA from 1 species
GACGAACGCUGGCGGCGUGCUUAACACAUGCAAGUCGAACGGAAAGGCCCUGCUUUUGUGGGGUGCUCGAGUGGCGAACGGAUAAGUAACACGGGGGUAACCUCACCUUAACUUUGGGAUAACUUCAGGAAACUGGGGCUAGUACCGGAUAGGAACUCCUGCUGCAUGGUGGGGGUUGGAAAGUUUCGGCGGUUGGGGAUGGACUCGCGGCUGAUCAGCUUGUUGGUGGGGUAGUGGCUGGCCAAGGCUUGGACGGGUAGCCGGCCUGGUAGGAUAAGCGGCCAGGUUGGGACUGAGAUACGGCCCAGACUACUACGGGAGGCAGCAGUGGGGUAUAUUGCACUAUGGGCGGAAGCGUGACGCGGCAAAGCCGCGUGCGGGAUGACGGCCUUCGUGUUGUAAACCGAUUUUGCCUGUUACGAAGAGUGAGUGACGGUAAUGGGUAAAGAAGCACCGGCUAACUACGUG